rnacentral:rRNA from 1 species
GACGAACGCUGGCGGCGUGCUUAACACAUGCCAGUCGAACGAAGUGGCGAACGGGUGAGUAACGCGUAAUCCCCCUGCCCUUCAGAGGGGGACAACAGUUGGACACGACUGCUAAUACCGCAUACUGAAGGUUGGGAUUGCGUCUGAUUAGCUAGUUGGAGGGGUAACGGCCCACCAAGGCGAUGAUCAGUAGGCGGACGGAGAGGAGGAACGGCGAAAUUGGGAAUGAGACACGGCGCAGACGAGGACGGGAGGCAGCAGUGGGGAAACUUGCGAAAGGGACGAAAGUCUGAGGGAGCAAGGCGGCGUGAGUGAGGAGGGGCUUGGGGUUGUAAAGCUCUGUUAAUCGGGACGCGGUACCGGAAUAGAAAGCCACGGCUAACUACGUGCCAGCAGCCGCGGUAAUAC